rnacentral:rRNA from 1 species
AUGGGGUGCAGCAGGGGCGAAACCUCCGCAAUGCGGGCAACCGCGACGGGGGGACCCCGAGUGCCGUCGGGGCAAAGCCCCGGCGGCUGUACCGGGGUGUAAAAAGCCCCGGGUAGAAAGCGGCGGGCAAGACCGCUGCCAGCCGCCGCGGUAAUAGCGGCGCCGCAAGUGGUGGCCGCUUUUAUUGGGCCUAAAGGGGCCGUAGCCGGUCCCGUGGGUCCCCGCCGAAAGCCCGCGGCUUAACCGCGGGAGUCGGCGGGGAAACUGCGGGACUUGGGACCGGGAGAGGCCGGAGGUACCCCCGGGGUAGGGGUGAAAUCCUGUCAUCCCGGGGGGACCGCCAGUGGCGAAGGCGUCCGGCUGGAACGGGUCCGACGGUGAGGGCCGAAAGCCGGGGGAGCAAACCGGAUUAGAUACCCGGGUAGUCCCGGCUGUAAACGAUGCGGACUAGGUGUUGGGGCGGCCACGAGCCGCCCCAGUGCCGUAGGGAAGCCGUUAAGUCCGCCGCCUGGGGAGUACGGCCGCAAGGCUGAAACUUAAAGGAAUUGGCGGGGGAGCAC